rnacentral:rRNA from 1 species
AUGAACGCUGGCGGCGUGCCUAAUCCAUGCAAGUCGCGCGAACAGACGAGGAGCUUGCUCCUCUGACGUUAGCGGCGGACGGGUGAGUAACACGUGGAUAACCUACCUAUAAGACUGGGAUAACUUCGGGAAACCGGAGCUAAUACCGGAUAAUAUAUUGAACCGCAUGGUUCAAUAGUGAAAGACGGUUUUGCUGUCACUUAUAGAUGGAUCCGCGCCGCAUUAGCUAGUUGGUAAGGUAACGGCUUACCAAGGCGACGAUGCGUAGCCGACCUGAGAGGGUGAUCGGCCACACUGGAACUGAGACACGGUCCAGACUCCUACGGGAGGCAGCAGUAGGGAAUCUUCCGCAAUGGGCGAAAGCCUGACGGAGCAACGCCGCGUGAGUGAUGAAGGUCUUCGGAUCGUAAAACUCUGUUAUUAGGGAAGAACAAAUGUGUAAGUAACUAUGCACGUCUUGACGGUACCUAAUCAGAAAGCCACGGCCAACUACGUG